GGAGGGUGCAAGCGUUAAUCGGAAUUACUGGGNGUAAAGCGCACGCAGGCGGUUUGUUAAGUCAGAUGUGAAAUCCCCGAGCUUAACCUGGGAACUGCAUUUGAAACAGGCAAGCUAGAGNNNNNNNNNGGGGGGUAGAAUUCCAGGUGUAGCAGUGAAAUGCGUAGAUAUGUGGAGGAACACCGAUGGCGAAGGCAGCCCCCUGGGUCAAGAUUGANNNUCAUGCACGAAAGCGUGGGGAGCAAACAGGAUUAGAUACCCUGGUAGUCCACGCCCUAAACGAUGUCUACUAGUUGUCGGGUCUUAAUUGACUUGGUAACGCASUAACGCG
rnacentral:rRNA from 1 species